GGUAAGAUGGCCGAGUUGGUCUAAGGCGCUAGACUCAAGAGAAUUACCUCUUUCACUGUUUCAGUGAAGUAUUCUAGUCUCGAAAGAGGCGCGGGUUCGAAUCCCGUUCUUACCA
rnacentral:tRNA from 1 species